ACGGUUAGCCCACACAACCCACCACCCAGCUCACUAACACUCAAAACAAAGAAAAAAAAAAGGAGAGAAACGAAAGAAAGGGAUGAGAGAAGAGGGGAGCUAUGGUAAGGGAGAAGGGGGAAGAGAGGGAGGCAGUGCCGAUGGGCAUCACUGUCACCGUCGUCGCCGCUAUGCCGUCAAGAGGGAGACCAGAGAGAGAGAGCGACGGAGAGCUGUCCCCUGCCGCUGAUCCGCCACCAAACUCGCCGCCCAGCCGUCGUCACGUCACGACCCAGCCACCAUGGCGUCGCUGCCUGCUGCCGCCGAACCGAUUAUCGCGUUCUACUGCACGCCGUCACGGAGGAAGACCAAAACCCAGGGAGAGGGCCGCGCGAGGAGAGGUUGGCGUCGCCGUUCCCCGAAGCCUGUGUCACCGUCGAGCCCAGAUGAGAAAGGAGAGACUGAGCCUGAACCAUGACGAGGUGGGAAGAACCAGCGCUGCCGCUGUGUCGUCGUCGUGGACACCAUCACCGCCAUUCGUGCCUCUGAUUCGCGCCGUUGUGACUUCUGUCGCCGUUAGGCUGUCCGCCGCCAUAACCGCCGUUGCUGGUGACCACCAGUGGAACCCUCAUCGUCUUGGUUGCCGUUGAACCACCAGAAUUUCUAGUCGUUGUCGAAGCUCCCGUCGAGUCAGUUUGGGAUUGCGGCUGCUCAGUUCUGCUGUUACCGAAUUAGAAAUUGAGUUUGCAUGUCGCGAUUGAGGCUGUUCUGCUAUGGAGAAAGCAAGCGGAGCUGAGGUUUUGGUUGCUGUUGAUUCCGGGCUGAGAGAAAAGAGCUCAGUUGACACGUUUGGAUUAUGGUUUUGCUUACCGAGGUUAUGGACGACGAGUUUGGAACAGCUUAUUUCUCUUUGUUUAGAUGAUACUUUUGUAUUGAUUUUAGCAUUUAUGUUUCCCUCGCCUUUAAUUUUACAAGUCUUCACAAGAGGGAUAGGAUAUUUGAUUAUGUAAUGCUUGUAAUAUUAACUCUAUGUAGAUAUAUGUAUAUGUAUCUUUUGUAAGUAUUGCGGUUUGUUUUAUAAAUGUGGUUGUAUGUUAUCCGAUAAGAAGUUUCUUGAGUGGUUAAACGAUUUAAAAUUUUUAAAUAGGCUCAUAUUUUAGUAUUAAAUAU